CUAGCCCUGAAAAUGGAUGGCGCUCAAGCGUCCUCCCGAUACUCGACCGUCGGGGCAGUAACGGCCUUCGCGGGUCUCGAAGCCCCGACGAGUAGGAGGGUCGUGGCGGUGAGCGUUGAAGGGACCGGCGUGAGCCGGCCUGGAGCCGCCGCUAGUGCAGAUCUUGGUGGUAGUAGCAAAUACUCGAGUGAGAUCCUUGAGGACUGACCGUGGAGAAGGGUUCCAUGUGAACAUCAGUUGAACAUGGGUUAGUCGGUCCUAAGCCUCAGCCGAAAGGCGUCUCAGCGCUGGCAAGGUGUCAAUCCAAACUCUUAGUCCAGUAGAGGUCCGGUUGUUAACGCAGCCUCUCCUCGAACGGCGAAGGGGACGCUCCCUCCUAGGUGUCUUAGGCUUACGUCCCUGUAAACCCUAACGCUCUGGAGGUUGGCGUCCUGGUUCCUCCCCCUCGCGGGCGGAGGGUCAGGCGUUUGCCGAUCAACCGUUGUAAAUUUGUAGGCGAAAGGGAAUCUGGUACUUAUUCCAAAACCUCGUCCCCGGAUAAACGUCCCCCGAGCGCUCGCGCGAGGGUAUAACGGUCCUGGUAACGGGAAUGACCCCUGCAUACACUGGCGCGGUCCGGGGAAGAGUUUUCUUUUUCUGUUUAAGACUCCGUGACCCUGGAAGCUACUCGCAAGGCGAUAGGGUCGUGGUAGCGUAGAGCGCCGCGGUUCUUGCGGGCGUCCCGUGCGCCGUCGUCGGUCCUUGAAAAUGCAGGCGAGGGCGGAAACCCAAGGUCGCAUCACGCGUUGGACCCCGGUCCAGUGGAAUUUGCCUCCGACGGGGUAGUAAGCUCUCUGACGUCGACUGGUACCAACAGGUAAAGAGUAAGAGACUCGUCUCCCUCUGAUCCCGUAACACCAGAUCUCCUGUCCGGUCACGUUGGGGUUCUCACCCCUUCACGGACUUUCGGGCGAGCCCGUACCCAUAUCCGCAGCAGGUCUCCAAGGUGAAUAGCCUCUAGUCGAUAGAUUAAUGUAGGUAAGGGAAGUCGGCAAAUUA
rnacentral:rRNA from 1 species